AGUAACCUGCCUUGGAGUGGGGAAUAACAGCUGGAAACAGCUGCUAAUACCGCAUAAUGCAGUUGGGUCGCAUGGCUCUGACUGCCAAAGAUUUAUCGCUCUGAGAUGGACUCGCGUCUGAUUAGCUAGUUGGCGGGGCAACGGCCCACCAAGGCGACGAUCAGUAGCCGGACUGAGAGGUUGGCCGGCCACAUUGGGACUGAGACACGGCCCAGACUCCUACGGGAGGCAGCAG
rnacentral:rRNA from 1 species